UACGAAGGGGGCUAGCGUUGCUCGGAAUCACUGGGCGUAAAGGGUGCGUAGGCGGGUCUUUAAGUCAGGGGUGAAAUCCUGGAGCUCAACUCCAGAACUGCCUUUGAUACUGAAGAUCUUGAGUUCGGGAGAGGUGAGUGGAACUGCGAGUGUAGAGGUGAAAUUCGUAGAUAUUGGGAAGAACACCGGUGGCGAAGGCGGCUCACUGGCUCGUAUCUGACGCUCAGGCGCGACAGCGUGGGGAUCAAACAGG
rnacentral:rRNA from 1 species